CCUACGGGAGGCAGCAGUGAGGAAUAUUGGUCAAUGGCCGGAAGGCUGAACCAGCCAAGCCGCGUGAAGGACGAAGGUGCCAAGCAUUGUAAACUUCUUUUGUCAAGGGACAAAAUCAGGCUCGAGAGCCUGACCGAGGGUACUUGAAGAAAAAGCAUCGGCUAACUCCGUGCCAGCAGCCGCGGGAAUACGGAGGAUGCGAGCGUUAUCCGGAUUUAGUGGGUUUAAAGGGUGCGUAGGCGGGCUGUUAAGUCAGCGGUAAAAGCCCGGGGCUCAACCCCGGCGAGCCGUUGAAACUGGCUGUCUUGAGAUGUCGAGAGGUAUGCGGAAUGCGCAGUGUAGCGGUGAAAUGCUUAGAUAUUGCGCAGAACUCCGAUUGCGAAGGCAGCAUACCGGCGGCGAUCUGACGCUGAGGCACGAAAGCGUGGGUAUCGAACAGGAUUAGAUACCCCAGUAGUC
rnacentral:rRNA from 1 species